GAUGAAGAACGUAGCGAAAUGCGAUAAGUAAUGUGAAUUGCAGAAUUCAGUGAAUCAUCGAAUCUUUGAACGCACAUUGCGCUCGCCAGUAUUCUGGCGAGCAUGCCUGUUCGAGCGUCAUUUCAACCAUCAAGCUCUGCUUGCGUUGGGGAUCCGCGUCUGACGCGGUCCCUCAAAAACAGUGGCGGGCUCGCUAGUCACACCGAGCGUAGUAACUCUACAUCGCUAUGGUCGUGCGGCGGGUUCUUGCCGUAAAACCACCAAUUUCUAAGGUUGACCUCGGAUCAGGUAGGAAUACCCGCUGAACUUAAGCAUAUCAAUAAGCGGAGGA
rnacentral:misc_RNA from 1 species